rnacentral:lncRNA from 1 species
UUUUGCUUUUUGGGAUAUUGACUUUUAAUUUCCAUGUAUCACAAUAUUCCUUUAAAGCGUCUAAUUGUUUUUGUAGAUCUGCUUGUGUUUCUGACAUAAGUACAGUGUCGUCUGCGUACAAUACAACAAACAGUUUUAAAUACAUAUUUAGCUCAUUCUCUAUCUGAUCUGAUAAAGAUUUCAAACCGCUUAUAUUUUUGUUCUGAAAAAAGCUUUCUAAAUCAUUUACAUAAAUAGAAAAAAGUAUGGGAGAUAAAUUUUCUCCCUGUCUUACACCUACAUUACAUGGAAAGUAGUCUGAAUAUUCUCCAUCACUGAAAAUUCGUGAUUUCACAUUUUUAUACAUAUUAAAUAUAGUGUUAUACAUCUUCCCAUUCACUGUAUGUAAAAUGAGUUUUGACCAAAGACCAGAUCUCCAAACUGUAUCGAAAGCUUUAGCAAAAUCAAGAAAAGCACAAAAAAGUUUUUUUUUCUUUUUUUGUCUCAGUAAUUCAAAUAAAAUAUGCAGAGUAAAUAUGCUGUCUAUAGUGGAAUAACCCUUUCUGAAACCAAACUGGUUUUCAUUUAACAACAAAUAUUCUUCCAAAAAAUUACUCAAUCUUAAAUUCAAAAUUGACGUAAAAAGUUUACCCAUACAGCUUAAUAUAGUUAUAGGUCUGUAGUUUUGGGGAUCUGACUGGUCACCUUUGUUUUUAUAAAAAGGUAUAACAUUACCAACAAGCCAAAGUUCAGGCACUUUUCCAGUAUCAAAUACAAUAUUGAACAGUUUAACAUAGAUUGGCAUGAAAAUCUGAGAGGUGCUCUUAAUAUAUUCAUUUAUGAUGAAGUCAUCGCCACAAGCUUUGCCAUUUUUAAGAGUUUUGAUGCAUUUAAAAAUUUCAUUUUCCGUAAUAGAACUGUUUAAUAACGAAUUAAGUUCGUUAUUUUCAUCUAUAAUAGUUUCUUCACCAG